GUGCCUAUACUGCAAGUCGAACGAGUUCUCGUUGAUGAUCGGUGCUUGCACCGAGAUUCAACAUCAUUGAGUGGCGGACGGGUGAGUAACACGUGGGUAACCUGCCCUUUAGUGGGGGAUAACAUUUGGAAACAGAUGCUAAUACCGCAUAGAUCCAAGAACCGCAUGGUUCUUGGCUGAAAGAUGGCGUAAGCUAUCGCUUUUGGAUGGACCCGCGGCGUAUUAGCUAGUUGGUGAGGUAACGGCUCACCAAGGCGAUGAUACGUAGCCGAACUGAGAGGUUGAUCGGCCACAUUGGGACUGAGACACGGCCCAAACUCCUACGGGAGGCAGCAGUAGGGAAUCUUCCACAAUGGACGCAAGUCUGAUGGAGCAACGCCGCGUGAGUGAAGAAGGCUUUCGGGUCGUAAAACUCUGUUGUUGGAGAAGAAUGGUCGGCAGAGUAACUGUUGUCGGCGUGACGGUAUCCAACCAGAAAGCCACGGCUAACUACGUGCCAGCAGCCGCGGUAAUACGUAGGUGGCAAGCGUUAUCCGGAUUUAUUGGGCGUAAAGCGAGCGCAGGCGGUUUUUUAAGUCUGAUGUGAAACCCCUCGGCUUAACCGAGGAAGCGCAUCGGAAACUGGGAAACUUGAGUGCACAAGAGGACAGUGGAACUCCAUGUGUAGCGGUGAAAUGCGGAGAUAUAUGGAAGAACACCAGUGGCGAAUGCGGCUGUCUGGUCUGUAACUGACGCUGAGGCUCGACAGCAUGGGUAGCGAACAUGAUUAGAUACCCUGGUAGUCCAUGCCGCAACGAU
rnacentral:rRNA from 2 species